rnacentral:rRNA from 1 species
UACGUAGGGGGCAAGCGUUGUCCGGAUUUAUUGGGCGUAAAGAGCGUGUAGGCGGCCAGACAGGUCCGUUGUGAAAACUCGAGGCUCAACCUCGAGAUGUCGAUGGAAACCGUCUGGCUAGAGUCCGGAAGAGGAGAGUGGAAUUCCUGGUGUAGCGGUGAAAUGCGCAGAUAUCAGGAAGAACACCCGUGGCGAAGGCGGCUCUCUGGUACGUGACUGACGCUGAGACGCGAAAGCGUGGGGAGCAAACAGG